GCGGCCCUCCCACCCUCUGAUUGGCGGAGAGACGCCGGUGCACCGGACGCAGCAGCGCGCGCGGGGCCGGCCGACCGAGACUCCGGGAGCCAGAGGAUAUUGGGGUUGAGCUUCCUGGGAGCCCAGGCUGAGCAGCUGCUGCUCCCCCAGCGGGAUCGGGGCUGGGGAGUGACCUCUGCGCCCAGCCAAGCAAUUGCAGGAGCCGAUCCAGCCAUAGGAGAGCGAACCCCCAGGAUUGG